UAUCUUAAUUCCAUUUUAUUUAAACAUUUCAGCCAAGUCUUUGCUGUGUCAUUUAGACACAAUAUGCUGACAUGGUAAGGUGCUUCUCACAUUUUCCUAGCGCGUGAAAUCAUUCCAAAAAACAAACUUCACAUACUUCUUGUCAGAAAAUGUACAGCUUCUGCCGAAAAACCGACAAAUUUUCCGGCCAUCUUCUUAGCCUAAUUUCUUUUUAGAUUUGUUCACACCAAUAUAAUUGUAACCUUCUUUAGAUUUGGGCACACCAUCUCCACCUCUAAAUCUGGCCACCAUCAAUCAAGUUCUUAUUUUUUCUCUUAUUUUGAAGAUCUGCUGGGCCGUUAUAAUUCUGGCCCGUAAAAGUAGCAGCGUCCCUAACUGCCUACAUCAUCUUCUCCAUUAUCUUCCACCAUGGGAUGGCACAGACAAGAAUCGUGACCAGAGCCCUCACCUUUUUACUUGUCCGAUGAAGUUUUAUUUUUUUCUCAACAGUUUAAUGUGACUUGAAUUAGAUCCGGAUAGAUACGAGCAGAUCUGACCGGAAAAUAACAAGUUUUUGGCGACGUUUUUGCAUCGGUGUAUUCUUAUCCUUGUUUUGUUUUAUUUUUUGUCUACAAGUUAUAGAUCUAAAAACAUAUGGUGAAACUCCACCAUCUUUUAAUCCGGUCGGAAUUUUAUUUUCGGCAACUUUGUAAUUUGGUUGGAUUUUCAUUUUUCCAACAACCUUCGUGCUUAUGUUCGUUAAUUUCUAUGAUUGAGUCCCAUCUUGGUACAUUUAGAUUUUAUUGGGUUUGAUUUCACUACCUUCAAUUAUUGCAUUAUAUUCUGUUUGUUUGCCAAUUAUUUGAUUGGUCGUCUGCUACUGUAUUUUGAAGUGAAAAAAAAUGGUCAGGGGUCAUUGGGGAAGAUGACAGACGGGUGGGGUUAAGGUAAAAUACAUGUGUCUUUGUCUUAUUCGUCAAUCUGGCGUGUGAAUUAGACGCUCCUUUUGUGUUUG
rnacentral:lncRNA from 1 species